CCUUAUCUCAGUCCCACCAUCUAGAUACUUCAUGACGACAUUUGAAAAGUUUAGAAACACUUGUGGGCAUGUGACUGGAAAUCCAAACAGUGAGAAAGUACAAAAUGCAAGCUAACUCCGCCUCCCCACCUGUGGCGGCUCAGGCCAAAGGCAGCUUCCUUUAAUGGGGUUUCAGGGCAUGUUUCCAGAAUGUCUUUUCCAGGCCUGUUCCUGUGAGGGUAGAUGGGACUGUGCAGCAUGGUCCGCACUCUCUCUGGUCUACACCACAGUCUAUCUCCAGAGGCUUCGAUAGUCAUCUACUGAUGCCAGGACCUCAUGAAGCUCUGUGUUUCAACAAAGUAACGUGAGGCGGCCCCGGAUGCUUCACCCCAGAGAUCCUUCCCGAAGACGAUGGAUCUGAAGAGAAGAGAGUGUUUGCCGAGGAGUAAGUGGGAGUAAAGAUGACAUCAUUAUGGUGAGCUGGGCUGGAAGUUUGGCGUGAGUCACACAUGACAGGAGGGCAGGGAAAGGCUUGACGGGGGAGUCAUGUGGUCAUACCAUGGGCCAGAAAGCUGUGGCUGGCAGGCUUGAGGAUUCAGGGGUGACAAACUCUUCCAUAGUGCCAUUUAACCUCAGGUCCCAGGGGGUAGGGGUGGAGCUUAUGGCUCUGAAGAACUGUAGGCUCUUAUUGGGAAUGGCCACACUGAAGGGAUGGCUUCUGGGCCCUGGCCCAGGGCCUUGUGGGUACGUGACUAAUGGGAGGUCUUCAUGCAAGCAAGCCCUGCUGCAAAUUCCCUACCUCACAAACCUUCCCAGCCUCAUUGAACCACUUGGCUUCAGCUUCAGUGACAGGGCUGUCUUUUACAUAUGUCUCUAGCUUCUGUUUGCCUCUUAGUACAUCAUAGAUGGAUACCGGGACUUGAUGGCUUCUGUAGCCCAUGAACAGCCCAGGUUAGUCCAGUGGUGGACACCCAGGGGGACCUCCAAGAGGGAAACCAUCCAUUGUCAUCAAAGGGUAGAGCUGAGGGGUCUGGUGUCUCUUCCUGUCUGCUCCCUGAUUGUCACUUUGUCUUCUGUGGCUUUUGCUGGGCUCCUUUGGUGACUUUGCUGAGAUACGGGGCUCAAACCAAGGCUCACCACCCGGAUGGAGACUCAUCAUGCAAUAGCACAGAUCCAAAAACCCCUCCCUUGGGCACUAGGCUGGUGUCUGGGAGGCUUCGCUUGUGUCUG